UACGUAGGGCGCAAGCGUUGUCCGGAAUUAUUGGGCGUAAAGAGCUCGUAGGCGGCCUGUUGCGUCCGCUGUGAAAUCCCGGGGCUUAACCCCGGGCGUGCAGUGGAUACGGGCAGGCUGGAGGCAGGCAGGGGAGAACGGAAUUCCUGGUGUAGCGGUGAAAUGCGCAGAUAUCAGGAGGAACACCGGUGGCGAAGGCGGUUCUCUGGGCAUUACCUGACGCUGAGGAGCGAAAGUGUGGGGAGCGAACAGG
rnacentral:rRNA from 1 species